ACUCGUGUUUUUAAUAAUUAUCAGAGAUGCACCUGUGGUUUCGACUUUGUCUCACUCAUACACCUCUUCCGUUAAUUCCGUUAAAAAAGUGUUAAAUUUUUUUUUUAAGGGAAAAGCUUUUAUAAUAAUUUAAGAUUAAUAAAAAAUUAUUAUAAAAACUUUUUUAAAAAAAAAAAAAAAACCAGUCCUCACCCUACUGCCACCCGUCCCCCACCCCUGCUCCCCGUCGCCACCAGUCCCUCCUCCCCCACCCAGCCGGCGGCCAGCGCCCAGAGCCGACGACCCCACCCACACCCCCCUUUCCCCCACCAAGGCAACCCACCACCCUCUUUUUCCCCCUUUUUGUUUCCCGAACCCCAUCCCAAAACCACCCCUAAACGCCGUCCUCCCCUCAAAACCGCCCCCCUCCUCUUCACCUCCCCCCGGAAACCGCCCCUCCCCCGGAAACCCCCCCUUAAUCGACCCCUUAAGGACUCUAACGCCCUAACCCUCCCUUAAUUCGCCGGCGGUUUUAGGGUUUCAAUAAGGUGGUGGUUUAGGGUUAGGACCCAUAGGGGGUCAAUUAAGGGAGGGGGAAAGGUGAGGGGAGGUUUCCGGGGGAGGGGGGAGAGGAAGGGGGCGUUUUCGACGGGAGAACGGUGGUUAGGGGUGGUUUUGGGAUUGGGGUCGGGAAACGAAAAGGGGGAAAUGGAGGGUGGUAGGCUGCCUUAAUGGGGGAAAGGGGGGCCGAUGGUGACGGGGAGGAGGGGGUGGCAAUGGGGUGGGGAGGGAGGCUGGGUUAUUUAUUUUUUUUUAAAGAUUUUAGAAUAAUUUAGAUUUUAAAAAAAAAAUUAAAAAUUUUAACGGUUUUUUAACUUUUCAAACGGAAUAGGUGUAUUAGUGAGAAAAGUCCAAACGACAGGUGUACCGUUGAUAAAUAAUAAAAACACAGGUGUAUCAUUGAUAAAAGUCAAUACCACGGAUGUACCAUAUAGCUUUUAUGAUUUAUAGUUCUGGUGCUAUAUAGUUAGAGAUUCAUUCGAGCGACGAUUGCUGUAGUUAUUAAACAACGUGUCUUGUCCAAAAAAAAAAAGAAAAACCCAACGUUAUGGUGCUGAUGUGUUUUCACUUUUAUCUAUCAGCAUUCUCGGAGUUCUUGCUAUGGUUCUUGGAGAAAAAGAAAGCGACACUCCGUUCAAAAAAAAAAGAAAGCGACACUAAUGAAGAAGGUGACACCAAUAAAGUGGCCAAAUAUAAAUCAAUAUUGUUUCGGGUUUUCUUAGUCCAGAUUGGCCUUCUAGCGCCGAUUAAUGUAGAUGCUAUAAAAUUAAUCCAACGACAUGGUUAUUGUGCUGAUGCGUUUUUACUUUAUUCAUCACCAUUCUCGGUGUUCUUGCUGUGGUUCUUGGACAUAUAGGUUCUAGUCAAAAUCGAACACUUUACUUGAAGAUAUACUUGAUCUUGACGAUAAUAUCAAUGUCCAUUCGUUUUGUAACGACAGACGAUAAACUAUCAAAGGUUUUUUAUAAUGAGGAUGUACAGACAUACAAAAUUUAUAAAGCGAUCUUAGAGACAUUGAUGCCAAUUUUGGCUACAAUAUUCACAUUACCUCUGAUUCGCAAACUGUCGUCUUCAUCAAUCUGCCACUACUACAAGAAUGAAUGAAUGGUACAACAGAGGCCGAAUGAUACAGAGAUUAUAGACCAAUUUUUGCUACAUUAAUCUCCGCACUGCUUCUAUUCUUCUAAUUUGCAGAUUCUUCUGAAUAUUGCUCUUGUUAUUCUUUUGAUACAAGUACAUAUUGUAGUCACUUGGUUUUACAAUAUGUUAAAUGAAAAUUUUAAGGUGCAGGCGGCUAUACCUUGGUACAGCAAAAAAGUAAAGAGCAUACA